UACGUAGGGUGCAAGCGUUAAUCGGAAUUACUGGGCGUAAAGCGUGCACAGGCGGUUUUGUAAGUCUGUCGUGAAAUCCCCGGGCUCAACCUGGGAAUUGCGAUGGAGACUGCAAGGCUAGAAUCUGGCAGAGGGGGGUAGAAUUCCACGUGUAGCAGUGAAAUGCGUAGAGAUGUGGAGGAACACCGAUGGCGAAGGCAGCCCCCUGGGUCAAGAUUGACGCUCAUGCACGAAAGCGUGGGGAGCAAACAGG
rnacentral:rRNA from 1 species